rnacentral:rRNA from 1 species
GUUGAACGCUGGCGGCGUGCCUAAUACAUGCAAGUCGAGCGAAGCGGGGACGGGUGAGUAACACGUGGAUAACCUCCUAUAUGACUGGGGUAACUUCGGGAAACCGGAGCCAAACCGGCUACUGAUCGAUGGAUGUAGGCGGCAUUAGCUAGUUGGUAAGGUAACGGCUUACCAAGGCAACGAUGCAUAGCCGACCUGAGAGGGUGAUCGGCCACACUGGAACUGAGACACGGUCCAGACUCCUACGGGAGGCAGCAGUGGGGAAUCUUCCGCAAUGGGCGAAAGCCUGACAGAGCAACGCCGCGUGUGUGAUGAAGGUCUUCGGGUCGUAAAGCUCUGUUAUUCGGGAGGCGGUACCUACACAGAAAGCCCCGGCUAACUACGUGCCAGCAGCCGCGGUAAUAC